rnacentral:rRNA from 1 species
AGAGUUUGAUCAUGGCUCAGAACGUACGCUGGCGGCACGCCUAUACAUGCAAGUCGAACGAAGUAGCAAUACUUAGUGGCAGACGGGUGAGUAACAUGUGGGUAUCUUCCCUUUGGUGAGGAAUAACACGAGGAAACUUGUGCUAAUACCUCAUAAGUCUUUACGGAGAAAGCUUUAUGCGCCAUUGGAUGAGCCCGCACUUGAUUAGUUUGUUGGUGGGGUAAUGGCCUACCAAGACUGUGAUCAAUAGCUGAUUUGAGAGGAUGAUCAGCCACAUUGGGACUGAAACCCGGCCCAAACUCCUACGGGAGGCAGCAGUAGGGAAUCUUGCUACAAUGGAGGAAACUCUGAUGCAGCGAUGCCGCGUGAGUGAAGAAGGCCUUUGGGGUUGUAAAGCUCUUUCGUCGGGGAAGAAAAUGACUGUCCCCGAAUAAGAAGGUCCGGCUAACUUCGUGCCAGCAGCCGCGGUAAUACGAAGGGACCUAGCGUAGUUCGGAAUUACUGGGCUUAAAAAGUUCGUAGGUGGUUAAAAAUAGUUGGUGGUGAAAUCCCAGAGCUUAACUCUGGAACUGCCAUCAAAACUUUUUAGCCUAGAGUUAAAUGAUAGAGGAAAGCAGAAUUUCUAGUGUAGAGGUGAAAUUCGUAGAUAUUAGAAAGAAUACCGAUUGCGAAGGCAGCUUUCUGGAUCAUUACUGACACUGAGGAACGAAAGCAUGGGUAGCGAAGAGGAUUAGAUACCCUCGUAGUCCAUGCCGUAAACGAUGUGUGUUAGACGUUGGAAAUUUAUUUUCAGUGUCGCAGCGAAAGCGAUAAACACACCGCCU